UACGAAGGGGGCUAGCGUUACUCGGAUUUACUGGGCGUAAAGGGCGCGUAGGCGGAUGGUACAGUCAGACGUGAAAUUCCUGGGCUCAACCUGGGGGCUGCGUUUGAUACGUGCUGUCUGGAGUUCGGAAGAGGGUCGUGGAAUUCCCAGUGUAGAGGUGAAAUUCGUAGAUAUUGGGAAGAACACCGGUGGCGAAGGCGGCGACCUGGUCCGAUACUGACGCUGAGGCGCGAAAGCGUGGGGAGCAAACAGG
rnacentral:rRNA from 1 species